rfam:Danio rerio chromosome 4, GRCz11 reference primary assembly.
UCAUUGUUGGCACAGUAGGCAGCGUGUCAGUCUCAUAAUCUGAAGGUUGUGAGUUUGAGCCUCACACGGGGCA